rnacentral:precursor_RNA from 1 species
AAUAGCGUAUAUUAAGUUGCUGCAGUUAAAAAGCUCGUAGUUGGAUUUCUGGCGCUGUGUAUGCGGCCCGCCACGGUUACGUGUGUGAGUGCCGCGGUAUGCAUGCCAUCCUUCUAGAUCCAUUCUUCUCUCUUCAUUGAGUGGAAGAAUAGUCUAGAUCGUUUACUUUGAAAAAAUUCGAGUGUUUAAAGCAGGCUUUUGCUAUGAAUACAUUAGCAUGGAAUAAUAAUUUAGGACUUCGGUUCUAUUUUGUUGGUUUUGCGUACUGAAGUAAUGAUUGAUAGGGAUAGUUGGGGGUGCUAGUAUUCAGUGGCCAGAGGUGAAAUUCUCGGAUUCACUGAAGACUAACUUAUGCGAAAGCAUUCACCAAGGAUGUCUUCUUUAAUCAAGAACGAAAGUUGGGGGAUCGAAGACGAUCAGAUACCGUCGUAGUCUCAACUAUAAACUAUGCCGACUAGGGAUGGGUGGAAGUUGCAUUUUCGACUUCAUCCGCACCUUGUGAGAAAUCAAAGUGUUUGGGUUCCGGGGGGAGUAUGGUCGCAAGGCUGAAACUUAAAGGAAUUGACGGAAGGGCACCACCAGGAGCGGAGCAUGCGGCUUAAUUUGACUCAACACGGGAAAACUUACCAGGUCCAGACAUAGUGAGGAUUGACAGAUUGAAGAUCUUUCUUGAUUCUA